AUGAUGGCUUUCUGGUUCGGAACGGACUUAUCUGACUUCAUGAUCCCUGGAUUUAAUAUUCAUUCAGUCGCAGCUUUCAGUGGAUUAUGUGCUGCUCUUUUUAUCAUAGCAAUAGUGCAUGAAAAUGUCAAGAUUGUGUACGAGUUGCGGAAACUUCAUCGUACCAUUCCCAACCGUUCCUUUUUUAGUUGUUUCUCUGAGAUGUCAGCGCUUUUGACUCAAGAUGCUUCUGGAAGGUACACGAGACCAUCAGCAAGGGAGCUUCAUCCAGUCAGUCAAUUCUUGUGGUUUCUCUCUCAAACAAUCUUAAGUUACUUCUUAAUGCUGAGUGUGAUGACUUUCAAUGGCUACAUUGGCAUAGCAAUUGUUCUUGGAUGUGGACUGGGUUAUUUUCUCUUCAGCUCAGAGUUAGAAAAAACAAUGAUACAUUGCAUUUUUCAAAAGGUUGCAUGUGAUGGACGAAAUCGGCCCUGUGGUGCAAGUAAUCUUGAAACAGAAAAAGUCAGUGACAAAACGGCUCUUUCAGCGAAUGAAAACUGCGAGUGUAAUAGUCCAGACUCCGACUCAUCUUUAACUCCUGACCACAUUUUAACAACUGUUGAAGUGCAUACUUGAAUUUUACAUCCUUGAUCUGAAAUGUCUGAAGUUCGCCGCGUUAUUUCACUUUCUGAUCAUAAAUAUUUAAUUUUUUAAAAUUUCUUUUUACGUCCAUCAAUGGGGAAAGAGUCAGUGAUUUUAAAUGUAGAAUUCUUGCCAAAAAUGAAAGAAUUAUUUGAUAAGCUUUCAUCUAAAGGAAGCUAUUUUAAUGCUCACAAUAUGGACCUCGUUUCAUGACCGAAAAAGAAAAAAUGCUGAAGGAGAAACUGUGUAAUAUUUAUUUUUGUAGCAUAAAGUUUUUCCUCCCCAUGAUGCCUAAAAUUCUGAAGUUUUAGCCUUUUUUAUGGCCAUUUUUAAGGAGCGUCAUAAACUCUAUCAAUUUAUUCAAGUACCUAAUAUUUCUGUGAUAUUUAGUGAUUUGAAAGUUUAAGUUUUCAUUCUUUUGUAAGGACAGUUUUCCUGAUUCAUUGUUAAAGCAUUUAUCAGUAAUUUUAUCAGCCUUGUUAACCGAUUUUAUAAUAUUUUCAUUAGAGCUUCAGUAUUUAUAUUUACCCAGAGACUUCAAUCACAGAAGCAGCAAGAAUUUGGUUUGCUGUUAAAAUUAGUGAAUUCAUCACUUAUUACAUCCUUCUUGAGAAUUACAGUAGUAGUUUCCCCUGUAUUAUAGCUCACUCCUCCUCACAAAGCAAGAGAGCCUUAACCUCAUAGCACUUCUUCCAUAACCGACUUGUUCUAAGCUAAUCAUUCAUUAAUCAACGAUUUCAAUAAGCUUUUUUUUCAGAAAAUUAGUCAGCAAUUCUCUCGCCUAAUGACUUUAAAAAUUGCCUUUUGAUGAUUUUAGAAUGAAAGCUGUACUAAUGAAUUGUUUAUAUCAUAUAUCAUUUAGUUAAAAUAGCAGGACCUCCCCUCUCUCUAUUUUUGCCAAUUCUCCAGUAGAUGAAAUCUUUUCAUAUCAACCAAAAUGAUAAAAUGGAUCAAGAAAAGCUCUUUGCAGGUGGUGACUAAAAGAUAUAUUCGCACCCAUCGAACUAAACGCUUUACACACCCCUCUCAUACUUACUUACCUGAUAAUAAAGCUGAUCUUAAAUUGAGGGUUUGAAGAAUUUUGCAAUGAUCAAGAAGAGGGGCCCAGUCCCGAGCACUUGUGAGGGGUGAGGGAGUGUUGCGCUGAAUGUGAAUGACCAAAGUCUUAUGAAGAAAAAAUUAUGUUGUGUAUCUGUGUAUGCGAUUGUUCUGUAUGUACAGUAUAUCUAUAGUUAGUAUUUGUAUAGUUAAUUGACUUUUGUUCUCAAAAUAAUAUUGAAUGAUCAUCAUAAGUUAGUACUCUCAAAGUGAUAAGCAGACUCUCUAGUGAAAAUGCCAAAAUUAUUCAUCACGAACCAUCUUUCAUUGCAGCACUAUUUCAAGAAGCCGCUUAUGAAAAGGCUCCUAAUCUUUUUUUUGCAUUCGUAGGAGAUACUUUGAGCUCCGAAAGAUGAGUUGUUUUCAGUGUUAUCAAGCAAUUUAACAAGACUGAGUACCUGACUUAUUUUUAAUUGCUUAAAAAGUUAGGUGAAGUUUUUCAUUACUUACCCAUGUAUCCAGAAGUAAGGUGUCGUUAUGCAUAAUUACCUGUCUACUUUUAAUAAUUGACUUACAGUUGAAAUUUAGUGUGCCAAACUGGAGCUCUUUUUAAGGAAGAAGUUUUUAAGGAAGGGUAAAAAGAACUAAUCAGAUCAAGAAAGUACAAGAACUGUUGAAAAUUAUUUUAAUUUAUGGUUAUUUUGUAAGCUCUUGGGCACUUACGACAGAUUCAUUCAAGCUUAUUCUCCUUUGAAUUUUGAGUCCAAUUUUCCAUAACAUUACGUUCUAUUCUUCUUUAAGUGUGGCCAUGUUUCAAUUGAAUAUUCAUUACUUGUUAGUUUUAAAACUCAAUGAUUGUCAGCUAAAUGAGAGAGUUAUUUUUCUCUUUUUGAAAGGAAUUGUUAACCGCUCAUCUUUUGUGUUUCUCCACUCUGUGUAUUUUAAUUCCUAAGUUCCGAAGUAAAAAAUCUUUUAUAAAAGUUCAAAUGUUUAUUUAAACCUAUUAUGACAUUUGUGAGGAGAACCUCUUUUAAUUCACCAUUUAUUUCUCAAAAUGAUUUGACCAGAUAUUUUUUGUAUGGGUCCAUAAGUCAACUUUCCCUUCCAUCCUCCAAGAAGAGAUAUGGUAGGUAACGGCCAAAUAAAUUUACACACUUAGACUCCAACAGAAGAUCUGCCAUCGUGAUUCUUACAUCUACUUCAAAUGCAAAACUGACGGCGGACAAUCUUCUGUCGCAGUCUAUAUGUGCCUAAACUCAUUUAGCCAGGAUUCUACCCACAAUAUUACUGAUGAAAGUUUUAUUGGAUGUGGCAAAAGUCUUGAGACAUGACUGAACAUCAUGAGAGGAUAGUUCAUAUGCCUUUGAUGUGUGUUUCAAGUCGUUUAAUUUUUUUUUCUCUCUUUUUUUAUCUCUCUAUAAUGAUUGGUUUCAAUAUUUCAAGUAUCUUUCGCCAUUCAAAGGGUGAAAAUUCCAAAUUUGGUAUUAAUAUGCCAUCAGGUGUUGCAAAGAUUUUGUAACUAUUUCUGUCUUACAAAAGGAUUUUAAUGUCCCUCGAAUAAUAAUCAUUGUCUUAAGUUAUAGUAGGAUCAAAAGUAAGAGAAAAUUUCCUACUGAAAAUGAAUGAAGCAAAGGCAUUUACUUAGGCUCUUUUACAGAAAGAAUAACUUGCACAAUUUUAGCACCCCCUGCUGGCGCUUACCAGGGUUUUAAUUUCCAUUCUACACUGAUAAAUAAAACUACUUAUACAAAGAAAUCACGUGAAACUUUUUAAUAACGUUUAGUGAGAUAAAAUAUCCUUUGCAUUGUUUCUUGUGUACCUAUCUGCUUUCAAAACUGAACCAAGCGAAGAAGAUUUCCAUCCUAGUAUAAAAGGAUUCAACUUAUUUGGCGCAGACUCUAGUGGUGAAUCUUGACAUGAUUGUGGAAGGAAUGUAAAUUUUAAGAACAGAUUAAGUAAAUUGUGAGAAAAUACUGCCUAUAUUUUAAAAUUAUAAAGUCACCUUUUCUUGCAAUUUCAAAUGGUAGAAAGUAUUACAUUAACUAUCUCAUAAUUAUUGAUUAGCUAAUCAUUUUUUUCUUUGACUUAAUUUGUAAUCAAC
rnacentral:lncRNA from 1 species